rnacentral:rRNA from 1 species
GCGGACGGGUGAGUAACACGUGGAUAACCUGCCUCACACUGGGGGACAACAGUUAGAAAUGACUGCUAAUACCGCAUAAGCGCACAGUACCGCAUGGUACAGUGUGAAAAACUCCGGUGGUGUGAGAUGGAUCCGCGUCUGAUUAGCCAGUUGGCGGGGUAAUGGCCCACCAAAGCGACGAUCAGUAGCCGACCUGAGAGGGUGACCGGCCACAUUGGGACUGAGACACGGCCCAAACUCCUACGGGAGGCAGCAGUGGGGAAUAUUGCACAAUGGGCGAAAGCCUGAUGCAGCGACCCCGCGUGAGUGAAGAAGUAUUUCGGUAUGUAAAGCUCUAUCAGCAGGGAAGAUAAUGACGGUACCUGACUAGGAAGCCCCGGCUAACUACGUGCCAGCAGCCGCGGUAAUACGUAGGGGGCAAGCGUUAUCCGGAUUUACUGGGCGUAAAGGGAGCGUAGACGGCAUGGCAAGUCUGAAGUGAAAACCCAGGGCUCAACCCUGGGACUGCUUU